rnacentral:lncRNA from 1 species
UCAAAUAGUUGGGAUGGAGACUUGGCUCGUAGCAUUCUUCCUAAGUUGUUCAAACUCCAACGCUUGAGGGUCUUCUCCUUGUUUGGAUACCACAUCUCUGAGCUACCAAAUUCAGUAGGUGAUUUGAGGUAUUUAAAGUACCUUAACCUAUCUGGAACUGAAAUUAGAACUCUGCCUGAAUCAGUGAACAAGCUUUACAAUUUGCACACACUUUUGUUGGAGGACUGUCGGAAACUGAAGAAGUUGUGUGCAGAAAUGGGAAGCCUCAUCAAAUUGCAUCAUCUUAAAAAUUCAAAUACAGAUUCCUUGGAGGAAAUGCCACUAGGAAUUGGUAAUUUGACUUGUCUUCAAACGUUGUGUAAUUUUGUUGUGGCAAAAGACAGUGGUUCCGGGUUAAGAGAGCUGAAGUCGUUGACUCAUCUUAAGAGGACACUUAAAAUUUCAAAAUUGGAGAAUGUAAAAUGCGUUGGUGAUGCCAUGGAGGCUCAAAUGGAUGGAAAGAAGAAGAAAAGACAGUGGUUCGGGGUUAUCAGAGCUAAAGUUGUUGAUGCAUCUUCGUGGGGCACUUGAAAUUUCAAAAUUGGAGAACGUAAAAGACGUUGGUAAUGCGAAGGAGGCUCGGUUGGAUGGAAAGAAGAAUCUUAAAGAAUUAUUGCUUCGAUGGACACGCAGUACCGAUGGUUCAUCUUCAAGGGAGGCAGAAACUGAAAUGGGCGUGCUUGACAUGCUAAAACCUCAUACAAAUCUGGAGCAAUUUUGUAUCAAAGGCUAUGAAGGUAUGAAAUUUCCAACUUGGUUGGGAGAUUCCUCAUUCUCAAAUUUGGUGACCCUAAAAUUUAAAAAUUGCGGCAUGUGCACUGCCCUGCCGUCUAUGGGGCAACUGCCCUCUCUAAAGCAUCUUACAGUGCGUGGAAUGAGCAGAGUAAAGAGAUUGGGUUCAGAGUUCUAUGGGAAUGAUCCUCCAAUUCCUUUUCUAUGCUUGGAGACUCUUCGUUUUGAAGACAUGCAAGAAUGGGAAGACUGGAUUCCCCAUGGAUCCAGUCAAGGAGUUGUUGAAGGGUUUCCUAAAUUGAGAGAGCUUCACAUUUUAAGAUGUUCUAAAUUGAAAGGAACAUUUCCAGAGCACCUUCCUGCAUUGGAGAUGCUUGUUAUUGAAGGAUGUGAAGAAUUGUCAGUUUCAGUUUCGAGUCUUCCAGCUCUUUGCAAAUUACAGAUUGGUGGAUGUAAAAAGGUUGUGUGGGAAAGUGCAACUGGUCAUCUCGGAUCUCAGAAUUCAGUGGUUUGUAGAGAUGCAUCAAAUCAAGUGUUUCUCGCAGGGCCAUUAAAGCCGCAACUGCCAAAAUUGGAAGAAUUGGAGAUAAAUGAUAUGAAAGAGCAUAAAUAUAUCUGGAAGAGUCAUAAUGGAUUACUACAAGACAUUUGCUCUCUCAAAAGAUUGACGAUUGACAGCUGUCCCAAACUUCAAUCCUUGGUGGCGGAGGAAGAGAAAGACCAACAACAGCAGCUCUGCGAGUUGUCAUGCAGACUCGAAUAUCUAAGAUUGAGAUAUUGCGAAGGCCUUGUGAAGCUGCCACAAUCAUCGCUCAGCCUGAGUUCCUUGAGAGAGAUAGAAAUCUGCAAGUGCAGUUCCCUUGUUUCCUUUCCUGAGGUUGCUCUGCCUUCCAAGUUGAAGAAAAUUAGGAUUAGCAGUUGUGAUGCACUGAAAUCGUUACCAGAGGCAUGGAUGUGCGACACCAAUUCAUCUCUCGAGAUCUUGGAGAUUUGGAUUUGCUGUUCGUUGACAUAUAUUGCUGGAGUCCAGCUACCACGGAGCCUUAAGAGGUUGCAUAUCUUGUUGUGCAAUAAUAUAAGGACUUUGACAGUGGAAGAGGGCAUCCAGUGUAGCAAUAGCAGCAGCAGCAGCAGAAGGUACACCUCAUCCCUUCUCGAGCACUUACACAUUGGCAAUUGUCGAUCUCUGACAUGUAUAUUUUCAAAAAACGAGUUACCUGCCACGCUUGAGUCCCUUGAAGUUGGCAAUCUACCUCCGUCUCUUAAGGUACUUGAUAUUUAUGGAUGUCCAAAGCUGGAGUCAAUAGCAGAAAGGUUGGACAACAACACAUCUCUUGAAACAAUCAGUAUUUUGUGUUGUGAAAAUCUGAAAAUUUUACCGAGUGGUUUACAUAAUCUCCGCCAGCUUCAAGAGAUUAGCAUAGAGAAAUGUGGAAAUCUGGAGUCCUUUCCCGAAGGGGGAUUGCCUUGUGCGAAACUGAGUAAGCUCAGGAUCUAUGGGUGUGAGAGACUAGAGGCCUUACCCAAGGGAUUGCACAAUCUGAAGUCUCUUCAAGAAUUAAGAAUAGGAAGAGGAGUUGAGCUUCCAAGCCUUGAAGAAGAUGGCCUUCCCACCAACCUUCAUUCACUGGAGAUUGAUGGUAAUAUGGAGAUUUGGAAGUCAACGAUUGAGUGGGGUCGGGGAUUCCACAGAUUCUCCUCUCUGCGAUGUCUUGCAAUCAGCGGAUGCGAUGACGACAUGGUGUCAUUUCCACUAGAGGACAAAAGAUUAGGGACCGCGCUUCCUCUUCCUGCCUGUCUAGCAUCCCUGAUGAUUGGUAAUUUUCCAAAUCUGGAACGCCUAUCUUCUUCAAUUGUUGAUCUUCAAAACCUCACUGAAUUGUAUCUCGGGGAUUGUCCCAAGCUCAAAUACUUUCCGGAGAAGGGCCUGCCUUCCUCACUUUUGCGAUUAUACAUCGACGAAUGUCCGUUGAUAGCAGAGAAGUGCAGAAAGGAUGGAGGACAAUAUUGGGACUUGUUAACCCAUAUACCCAGUGUUCUAAUAGAUUUAGCAAAGGAGGAGGACUCUAUUAAUUAAUUAAUGAAUUAAUUUCUCGUUAUCAGCGGUUGAAACUUCAGUUUCUUAUAUUUGUCUUUUCCGCGGUACGGUUACAUAUAUUUGUGUAUGUAAUUUUAAAAUUUAAAUCUCAGUUGAAAACUGUUUUAAAUUAAUAAAAAGAAAAAUGUUAAGUAGAGUAAGGGGCUCGCAUUAUUUCAGCAGCGGGGGACAUAUGUGUAUUAAUUAAUUAAUUAAUUAAUGGAUUAAUUUCUUAUGCGUAUCUCAUUCUAAGCUGUUGAAAUAAACUUCAGUUUCUUUUAUUUGGCUGUACAGUUACGCAUGUGUAAUAUUUCUCUUCAUCAGAUUUCGACAAAAAUUGUUAAUGUUUUUAUUAGUAAUUAAUUAGUAUGUUAGUGUUCUUCUUUUGUUCCAGAACAAUCUGCCUCUUCAGAACAAUCUGCCUCUUCAGCAAUAAUGUUACAAUGUUCUUUUGAUGUUGUUGUUUAGCAAAGUGGUUUUUUAGGUGCUAAUUAAACACACGAGGGCUAGGCCGUGUUACAAAAUUAUUUGUAAUCUUUAAUUUAAUUGUUUAUGUGCCAUCGCUAUUAAUAUUAAUCGAUAAAUAUAAUUUUAUCAGUUACUGAAUAUUUGAAUUCAUCAAAACUGUCAUAAUUGAAACGGAUCUUCAUAUUAACACAUCAAUAUGACAGAAAAAGGGAAUAUUUUUAAUGAAUUAAUUUCCUAUUGAGUAUGAAUGCGUAAUGUAUAAUGGCUAUCUCUUUCUUAGUUGUUGAAAUUAACUUCAUUUUUCUGUAUGGUUAUGUAUAACGAGAUUGAAAUUGUUUCGACCGGGUACAAUAAAAUAGUAAUGUGAGGUUCAUUCCGAUCAUGAUUUAUGAAAAUCACUUAAUAAUCAAAUCCGAUAACAACAAAAACAUAAAAAUCAAACGAGAAACAAUAUCCCCCACAACACCGACAAUAAAAUAUCAAAAACAAAACAAGCCAAGUGUUUGCCAAGAGAAAAUAUGAAGACCAACAAAGCAAAAUACGGUCACCACCAGAAUUACUUUUAAGCUAUAGUGGCCUAAAUUAAUUUUAAGGUAUGGUGGCCUUAAUAUCUUCACCAGAAGAAUUACCAACCGCGUCAUCAGCAGUAAUGUUAUAAUGUUCUUUUAAUGGUUUUGUAAAGUGGUUUUUGAUUGCCGAUUAAGCACUUGAAGGCUGGACUGCUGCAGUACAGAAUUAUUUAUACUCUCUAAUCUGAUACACUUUAAGCAAGUUCUUGAAUUAAUUGCUUCUGUGCCAUCGCUUUUAAUAUUUGCAAAUAUUGAUCAUCAUUAGCUCCUUUUGGGAUGUUAGAGAGCUUUGUUCAGAGAGAAAGACCAUAAAAACAGAGUACAUAACUUGUCAUAUAAAAAUAGUAUGUUCGCAUAUUACUCACAGUUAGCCAAGGCGCCGUCUGGUCAUAAUUGACAUAAGAGCUCAACCGUAAGUAACACAAUACACAAUCUGAAGAAUAGUUGCUUGAUCAGAAAGUCCAACUUUGUAGCUAUAAUUUUUUUUUUUUUUUUAGAAGUGUAGCUAUAAUAUGCUAUUUUCAUAAGACUUCGUUAAAGAUUGUUUUGUAAUUAAUUUCACACAACACAACCCUACAGAAAAUUGACCAAAACAAAAUGAAAUAUCAAGGCUGUAAUUAGCACUUGAUCAAAGGAAAAGAAGAAACAAAUGAAUUUGUAAGGAGUACUCCGAUACGUAUAUGAAUUUGUUUAGAGUUCUUUAUCAUAGAAAAAAUCAAUUGUAUGUCCUUCGUAUUUUCUCUAUAAAAACUUGCAAUAUAGACCAUUAGUUUGUUUUGAUAUUUACUGGAGUGAAUUGUUGUUUUUGUGAUUAUAAAAAAAUAUACUUCAGAGUUAUUUAUUUUUAUGUACAUAUAAAAUUGAAUUUAUUUUAAUGUGCACAAGAGUCAUUGGAAGGAUUUGCUCAUUAAUGGUUGGUUUGUGAAGUAAACUGACCAGAAAAUUUAUCAAAAGCACUUUAUUACAUCAUCUUCAUAUGUGCACUGAUGUAUAUUUACAUCAUCUUCAUACGUGCACUGAUGUAUAUUCUCCCUGAAUCCCAUAACAACAAAAACAGAAAAUCAAAAGAGAAACAGUAUCCCAGAAUGCCAAAAAAAUAUCAGAAACAAAAAUCAAACAAAGCAAUUCAAAAGCAUUUGCUUGUGAUGCCAUGACCAAGAAUGCUACUGCCAUAACAAGAAAUGGCAUUGCAAGACUGUAGAAUGCCACAUGUGCGAAUGAGAAGAACAUUACAAAUCAACAAUUCAAAAAAAAAAAAAGAAGAAUUUAAACCAGCUAAAAGGAUAGGCAUUAGGUAGAAUUUCACACGAAGAAUAAGACUAAGAAAAUUUAAGGUGAUUUGCAUUUAUAAUCAGCAAACGACUCAACAUAUCAGAAUGAGAAGAACAUUCAGGAAUCACCAGGCAGGACAAGAUCAAGGAGGCAACAAGGAAGCAUUUGUUUUGGCCAAAUAAAGUUUGCAGAUCUUUUAAUGCUAAUAUUAGUAAUAAAACCAUCACUGGGAUAUUGGUUUGGCAAUGUUUAAUUAAUGGCCCUGAGCUUUAUGAUCUUUAUUACAUAUGUAUUUAAUGCAACUACACAUACAUGUAAUAUGUACCUUGUAGGCUUAUUUAUUUAUAUUAAUAAUUAAUAUGAUCUUUUCAAACUUAGCCGAAGUUGUUGAACAUAAAAAUACUCAAAUAUUCAGUGUUCUUGAUUAAAUUAGCAUCAAUGGACAUAAUUAAAUAAAGAAAAUCGGAUUAUUACGAUGAUUGAUUCAGUUAGCUACAUUAGUGUUAUUUUUUAAAAAUGAUAUAUGUCGUAAAAUUUGUGUUAUAAAAACGUAUGGUAAUUAUCCACCGACCACCUAUUUUUUUAAAAUAUACAAAUUUUAUUUCAUUUUUUUUGCAACACUCCAUCAAAAGUUAACACUCUCUUCACUCGUCCACUUCCGUCAUAACGCAUUUAAUAGAUUUAACAUAAAAUUAAUUAAGUGAUUUUUUACCCAUAAUUGUAAAAUUGUUAUUUUUCUUAAAUAAAUGCCAAAAGUAUAUGAAUAUCAUUUAAAAUUUCCCAAGCUCAAUACGGCAUCGUAAAAACCCUACAAAACCUUCGUUCCCAUCCUUGAGCCCUGAGCCUUGAGCCUUGAGCCUUGAACAAUAUGAGCAAAAUGAUUUUUUUUAGAAAAAACCAGGGAUAUCAAUUAAUAAAAAAUUUAAAUCUAACCAAAAAAUCCUAAUAUCUAAAAGCAAAAUCUUAAUAGAUGUCCAAAAGCAAAAGAAUAGAAAAGAAAAGAAGAAGCAUAAUCCCAUCCAGAAAAACGAGAUGAACAGAUGACAACUAAUUUCCUUUUCAAUUUAGAAUUUUAUUUCAUUUUCAAUUUAGAAUUUUAUUUUAUUUUCAAUUUUCAAUUUUGUUUUUCUUUAGUGAUUUGAGAUAAUUACUACUAUUAUAAAUAGUUCUCUCUUGUAACCUUUGAAGACAUUUAACUUCAAUAAUAUUUUUAAUUUUCAAAUCUCUUUGUGAGUAUUUAAACAAUUAAUUCUCAAUAUUCUACGAAAUCAUCGAGUCUUAAUUUCUAAAUUCGCGAUAUUCUUUUAAAUCAAUAUAAAUUUAAUUAUUCGUUUAUUUCGAUAUUUUCUAGAAUCAGAAUAUUUUCAACAUUAAAAUUCCGCUCCAUCAACUACUCCUCUUCCUCCCAAACACAAUUAGCUCAGCCCAACAUGCGAAAGUGAAAUCGCCUGCAGUUCCAGUCAAUUGAACGUCUUGUCGUUUAUGCUAAAUGUCGUUUUUAAGUUUCAUUUGCCAACGACAAAACGAUUUAUCUUUUACCUGAAAGUCCAAGCAUAGCGAGCGAGUUGUUUUACAAAUGGGACAGUUGUCCCAACGAUAUUCACAAACAAUCCCAUUUCAUGGCCCGAAGAACAAACCCAACGACAUAUGAAAGCAUCAACCUUUACUGGAGUAGGUCGAUUGAAAUGAUAGAAGCCGAAGAAGUAAAUGAAACAGGAAUAAGAAGCAGAAGCAAGUAAGCAGAGCAAGUGACCAUGAAAACAGCUACAUUACCAUUUGGUGGCUUUGGGCAUUCUUAUUUACCUUCAUCUUCAUUCAAGAUUGUUAUUGUAAUGGCAAAGAGCAACAAAAAGUCCCGAUCCUCUUCUUCUUCUUCUAAGGUUCUUUCCACCUUUUCUUGUUUGAAUUCACAAUCUUCUCUUGUUUGAUGGCAAAGUUGGUCCUUUUUAGUUUUUUUUUGUUUUUAAUGAAUUGAAUUUAGCGUAUCAUAGACUCUCCUUUAAAGGGUUUGUGUGAUGUAGUUCAAUAAGUUUUGGAUGCGCCGAAGUAGUUAAUUUUAGUUAUAUGUAUUGUUUUUUUAGCUCAUAUGGGUGUCUUAAUUUUUCAUUUUUCUUAUAUAUCAACAAUCUUCAGUUGUUGGCUGCUCUUGAUGACUGUUUUAGUUUAUUUAAUAUAUUCUUAUUGAAUGAUCAUAAUAAUAUGUGAUGCAAAAUUGUUUAUCAGGUGGUUUACAAUUGUAAGCAAAUAUAUAGAAGCUGAAACUGAUCAUUAUACUUUUAGUGAUUGCUGAUGCCUGAAGAGGUAGAUUUCUGACCCAGAAAGUGCCUUACACGAUCAUAUCAGCCUUGUUAGUGGGAACACAAAAUGAGUAAGAGUAACUAUAUGUUCUUGAGGAGCCAAAAAUAGGGUGUUAUUUUGUGCUUCUCUUAAUCAAGUUCUGCAGCAAUAGAAAAUGGGGAUCAUAAUAUUUGGUUUAAAGGCGUUUUUUUAAUUUUGUGCCAAAUUAUUGUAUGUUCCAGAGUAGGAGCAGUGUUUGAUCCAUAAUUUUUUUUCUUUAUAUUUGUAAAUACUUUUAUCUCUUUUUUUUUUUUUGGUUGGUUCAUAUUUAGGUUGUCUCUAACUGGCUUUUUGGUGAUAGGAUUCAGAGCCGACACCUCCAAGAAUUACAUCUAAUGUGAAGCAAAAUUUGCAGUUCUUGAGAUUAUGGAAGGUUGGUUUUAUAUUGACAUAUCUAAAACCAGCAUCAGUUUUUAUCUUUCAUCUUAUUUAAGUUUGCCUUUGUAGGAGUUUCAAAGGAGCAAGUCUAGCACGCCUAGGCCUUCAACUAGUUACCGCAGGAAAAAGGUUGAGAAGGAGGAAUUGCCAGAAGAUACAGAGCUUUACCGUGAUCCUUUACUAGUAAUAUACUCUUCACGUUUCUUUUAUUUGCCUUGUUUGUUGUUUCAUUGAUCCCCUCUUAACCUUCUAUUAAAGGAAUUUUCUCUUUUAUUUACAGUACAAACCAGGGUAUAGAUAAUGCUGUUCCUGUCUUACUUGUUGAUGGGUAUAAUGUUUGUGGCUAUUGGCCAAAGCUGAAGAAACAUUUUAUUAAAGGAAGGCUGGAUGUUGCUCGUCAGAAGCUAAUUGAGGAACUUGUGGAAUUUAGUAUGAUAAGAGGUUUGUAUUUUUUAUCUCUUUUUUAUUCCAUAAGGGGCUUCUUUGUAUGUUGCAAUCGAUCAAAUGUGAUGCAACCUUGCUUGGCUAUAACAAAAUCAUGUAUAGAAUAACAACAUAAUUGACAGAUAUAUUUCUGCUGCUUAACUUGUGAUUGGAUAUACUUUAAUAUUAGGUGCCUUUAACAAGUGGUAUCUUGAAAAUUAAACACUGCUUCCAAUGCUUUUCUUUAUUUUCUUUGAAAGGAACUGUUCCCUGUGCUUACUUUCCUACUUUACUAAGUUUUGCUAUCAAAGUUUCUUCUUUGAAGGUUAUCCCCAAAGAUCCAGGGUGCCUUUGUCUGGAGUUCCAAGGCAUUGGUUUCUGAGGUCAGCUUGAUUAUCUAUUAUAUUUGUUGUUAAACUUGUCAUUCUUUCAUGCGUGGACAGUUUGUCAUUUCACUGGUCACUAUAAUCACAUUGUUGGUAUUUCUCUUGCUUUUCUUUUCUUCAUAAAAAAUUGAAGUUCUGAUUGAUAAGAAAGUUCGUAUUUUUGCUUAUUGAAUCUCAUUUUUCUAAGAAUUUAAUGACCAUCUGUGUACUACAUAUAAAAUAGUUUCAUAAGGUGUAGGAAUUCAUACAUCUACUUUCAGCUUAGUUAAGAAAUUUUUAUCUUUUGGGGGAGGUGGGAAUGGCCCCACCUCUUCUUUUUUUACCCUCCUAUUAUUAAAUUUAAUAUAAUUAUAUUUAAUAAAAUAAAAAAAAAUAACAAGAUUACAGAUCAGCAGGAAAAGCCCUCUUUCUAAAGCUAACUAUACAGAUUCUGCUGUACCGUACAUCCGCCUUGGCCGUACAGCAGUUUAUUUAAUAUUAAUAAUUAAUAAUAAUAAAUAGUUUAUUCUAAGAAAUAUUAAUUUUGUACUAAAUAAUAUUAUCAUAUUAUUAUUAUUUAAUAUAAUUAUAAUAAAUUUAAAUAAUAUUAUUAUAUUUAACUAAGUAUAAUUUACAUUGAUUCUAAGUUAAAAUUACUCAAAAAUAAUAUUAUUAUAUUAAUAGAGAAUUAAUAAUAUUACUAUAAACUAUCUUUAUUUAAAAAUAUAAUAUUAUUAUAUUUAUUUAAUAAUAAUAGUAUUAUAUUUAUUUAAUCUUAAUAAUUAAUAUUAAUAAAUAUUUUAAUUCCAAGAACAUUUUAAUUUUGUACUGUGUUAAUAGUAAAAAUGUUUCAUUUAUGUUGCCCUUAUCAAUAAUUUUUAAUUUACAUAACUAAAAUUAGAAUUAAUAAAAAUUUUGUUGUACAUAAUUAAGAAUUUAAUAUUAUUAUAAACCUUCAAAUAUAAUAAAAUAAAUAUUUUAUUCUUCAAAUAUAUUUUUUAUUAACUAUGCAAUUGAAAACUACAAUUUUUUACAUAAAGGUAAAAUUGUAAUUUGAAAAUAUUUACUCCUAAUCCAAAAAAAAGUAAACACAUAGAUUGGAUUCUGAUUUCAAUUCCAUACUUUCAUUCCAGUAUAAAUAAAUACCUACUCUCACUCCCACUCGACACUCCUAAUCCUAGGAUUCUCACUCUUCACGAUUCUCACUCCAAUCCAAAAUGUAAACGCUUCCUUAGUAUAAUAUUAGCAUUAUAUUAAUUAUGUUAUUAGCUUAUUAAAUAUAUACCUUUAACAAACGAGUCGAAUUUGUGUUAUUUAAAAUUUAGACGCGAUGGGAAUAUGAAUAUAACAUUACAUUACAAAUUGGCAUUGUUGAUUAUUAAAAACAAAUGCCGUGCAAAGGGCACUCAUAGUAAUAAGAAGAGAGAAUAAAAUCUUUUAAUUUAGCUUGCUUUAAUAAGUAAAAGAAUUGAUAAACUCUCUUUAAACUUUUGAAAUGAACCUGAAGGGACGGUAAGAGGAGAAGGAUGUAGCUUUAUUAAUGUAGAAGAAUUAUAUUCCUGACAAUCACAUUGCUUUCGUGUUCUCUCUGAAGUAGUGCCUAAUUAAUCAUGUUAAGCAAAUGCAAGAUUCGUGGUUCGGCUUUUAUUUAAUUUAAUAUGUAAAGUGAUCAAGAGCUCCACCGAUUUUAUAUUUGUAUUGGGCUUUGCCUUUUCUUUUCACUUUUGUGCUGGGUUUAAAUGGACAAUGAUACCUUAAUGUAUGUAUGAAUGUAUGUAUGUAUGUAUGUAUGUAUGUAUAUAUAUAUUUCAUUUGUUUUAAUAGUAAAUUUAUUUUUAAUUUAUAAUUACUAUUAUAUUCCUAUAAUAAAUAAAUCAAUAUAUUGAUCUAAGACAUGUCAUGAUGGCAUGUAUAAUAAAAUCAAUAAAAUUUUUAUUUAAAACCUAAAAUUGAGAUAUAAUUAUCUUUUCCCCCAGAUUAUUUACUUUAAAUUAUGAAUAUAUCCUUCUUAAUGAUAGGAUGAUAAAAAAUGAUGAAUAAUAGAUAAAAUUAAAAUCAAAUUUAUUUUCUUCCGGGGCAAAUUAUGCAAAAUGAGAUAUUAAACAUGCUUGUAUAUGAAUGAAAGGCAAUUGGGCAAAUCCCCAAAAAAAAAGUUUAGAAAAAUAUUAUAGGCUUUUACUCAGACCCUUGAAACCUUUACUGAUAAUACCAAAAACUCUAAUCCUUCAACAAAAGAAAGCAAGAAAAAAAGGUCCUAAGUUUAUUGUCUUUUAUUGGAUUUGUACCAAAAACUCUGAUCUGUUGGCUUUGUAUCAGUAUUGCUUGUUUGUUGUCUUUUAUUUCAUUAUUUAUAUCUAAGUUUAUUUCAAGAUUACAGAUCAGCAGGAAAAGCCCUCUUUCUAAAGCUAACUAUACAGAUUCUGCUGUACCGUACAUCCGCCUUGGCCGUACAGCAGUUUAUUUAAUAUUAAUAAUUAAUAAUAAUAAAUAGUUUAUUCUAAGAAAUAUUAAUUUUGUACUAAAUAAUAUUAUCAUAUUAUUAUUAUUUAAUAUAAUUAUAAUAAAUUUAAAUAAUAUUAUUAUAUUUAACUAAGUAUAAUUUACAUUGAUUCUAAGUUAAAAUUACUCAAAAAUAAUAUUAUUAUAUUAAUAGAGAAUUAAUAAUAUUACUAUAAACUAUCUUUAUUUAAAAAUAUAAUAUUAUUAUAUUUAUUUAAUAAUAAUAGUAUUAUAUUUAUUUAAUCUUAAUAAUUAAUAUUAAUAAAUAUUUUAAUUCCAAGAACAUUUUAAUUUUGUACUGUGUUAAUAGUAAAAAUGUUUCAUUUAUGUUGCCCUUAUCAAUAAUUUUUAAUUUACAUAACUAAAAUUAGAAUUAAUAAAAAUUUUGUUGUACAUAAUUAAGAAUUUAAUAUUAUUAUAAACCUUCAAAUAUAAUAAAAUAAAUAUUUUAUUCUUCAAAUAUAUUUUUUAUUAACUAUGCAAUUGAAAACUACAAUUUUUUACAUAAAGGUAAAAUUGUAAUUUGAAAAUAUUUACUCCUAAUCCAAAAAAAAGUAAACACAUAGAUUGGAUUCUGAUUUCAAUUCCAUACUUUCAUUCCAGUAUAAAUAAAUACCUACUCUCACUCCCACUCGACACUCCUAAUCCUAGGAUUCUCACUCUUCACGAUUCUCACUCCAAUCCAAAAUGUAAACGCUUCCUUAGUAUAAUAUUAGCAUUAUAUUAAUUAUGUUAUUAGCUUAUUAAAUAUAUACCUUUAACAAACGAGUCGAAUUUGUGUUAUUUAAAAUUUAGACGCGAUGGGAAUAUGAAUAUAACAUUACAUUACAAAUUGGCAUUGUUGAUUAUUAAAAACAAAUGCCGUGCAAAGGGCACUCAUAGUAAUAAGAAGAGAGAAUAAAAUCUUUUAAUUUAGCUUGCUUUAAUAAGUAAAAGAAUUGAUAAACUCUCUUUAAACUUUUGAAAUGAACCUGAAGGGACGGUAAGAGGAGAAGGAUGUAGCUUUAUUAAUGUAGAAGAAUUAUAUUCCUGACAAUCACAUUGCUUUCGUGUUCUCUCUGAAGUAGUGCCUAAUUAAUCAUGUUAAGCAAAUGCAAGAUUCGUGGUUCGGCUUUUAUUUAAUUUAAUAUGUAAAGUGAUCAAGAGCUCCACCGAUUUUAUAUUUGUAUUGGGCUUUGCCUUUUCUUUUCACUUUUGUGCUGGGUUUAAAUGGACAAUGAUACCUUAAUGUAUGUAUGAAUGUAUGUAUGUAUGUAUGUAUGUAUGUAUAUAUAUAUUUCAUUUGUUUUAAUAGUAAAUUUAUUUUUAAUUUAUAAUUACUAUUAUAUUCCUAUAAUAAAUAAAUCAAUAUAUUGAUCUAAGACAUGUCAUGAUGGCAUGUAUAAUAAAAUCAAUAAAAUUUUUAUUUAAAACCUAAAAUUGAGAUAUAAUUAUCUUUUCCCCCAGAUUAUUUACUUUAAAUUAUGAAUAUAUCCUUCUUAAUGAUAGGAUGAUAAAAAAUGAUGAAUAAUAGAUAAAAUUAAAAUCAAAUUUAUUUUCUUCCGGGGCAAAUUAUGCAAAAUGAGAUAUUAAACAUGCUUGUAUAUGAAUGAAAGGCAAUUGGGCAAAUAGGAAGUAAAAUUGGAGGGCUCACUCUCUUAAGUUAAGUAUAUUGAUUUAUUUAUUAUAGGGACAUGAUAGUAAUUGUAAAUUAAAAAUUAAGUUACUACUAAAAUAAACAGAUUUUACUAAUAAAAAAAGAGUUACAUGUCUUUUUUAAAACAUUAAAAGAUUCCAUAUUCCUUUUCUCAAAUGCUCACUGCUCUUUUCCCUUGCUCAAUUGAUUUCUAGAUUUGUUGGACCAUUCGCUAUCACAAACUCAUUGUGCUAAUUCACUCUCAUUUGCUUUAAUUUCCAUAAACUCAUAAUUCGGUUUUUUUCUUUGCCCAAAAAAAUUAAAAAUGUCAAUCAUCCAAGAGCAAUCCUUACGGCGGCAUCUGUUGAGUUGCUGGUCAAUAAGUAAGCUUUAGUGAGGAUCAGGUUGCUCGAUCUAAUCGCUAAUGAAAGGGUAUUAUGAAAGAUGAUAACCUAAAUAAAAGAGCACGAGUAUAUCCAUAAAUAGAGGUCAUAUUUAUGUCAUUUAGACAUGAAUAAAAUGAUAUUACACCACUCUUUUCUUAACCCUAUUUCCUAAAAUGAACUUCAUCUAAUAAUAUCUAUUUUUUUAUGCAUCGAAUAUCCAAUUCAUUUUUUUUUUUUUGCAAAAACAAUAUAUUACUUCCUAGCAAGCUUACAACAUUCAAGAAUAUUCAUGUUUACUUUCGUCGAUGCAUAACGCAAACAAAUAAAGAAGCAUUUCAUUAUAUCCUAGAUCCAUAUUUGUUUAACCCACGUGCAUCACUCAAUUGGUGAGGGUAAAUAAUAUCUUAAAGAAAGUAAUAUUUCUAACGUGUCUUGAAUUACAUAUUAAUUUUCUAUAAUUUACCUUUUGUUCAUUAUAUUAAAGUCCCAUUAUUUUUAUUGUUAUUCUUUAUGUUUGCUAUUCCGCACGAAUACGUAUCCCUAACGUAUUAGUUGUCGCUUCUUAAAAAUUUUAUAAAUAUCAAUAAUUAAUAUCAUUAUUCAAUCAUUUAGAAAAACCUGAGCAUUAAUUAGUUUAUCUUUGAAUUAAAACUAGACACAUGUAAAUAUGUGAACUCUAAUUAAAUCCUGAUUACUUGUAAUAUAUAUGAGCCAUAUCUAAAAAGGUAAUCUCAAUUUCUACUUCCAUUUUUUAAAUGCCAGGUCGAUGUACAUUAUCUAUGCAUGUACUGAAUAGGAAGCAACACAUGAAGAUGCAUUCUUUUUGCUGGACACUGAUUUUUAUUUUUCAUUUUUUUUUCCAAUUAUUCAAUGGUGCCGCCUGGUCCACGCAUGUCCGGUUCGUCAAGCAGACAAGCACAAGCAUGUGAAACUUGCUGAAUUAUUGAUGGUGGUGGGGGCUGCCUCUGGCUUAUGAGUUUGAAGAUUUGUAAAGGGAAGGUUCGUAGUAGAUACUUCCCAUUUUCCACUUUAUUCAGCAUUUUUACAUUCAUUGAAUCUGGUAACAAGUGGUGGUGACUGGUGAUUGGUGGAUUGCCAAAUUGGAUGAGUGAACGCGUUUUCUGUCGUCCCUUCGUCGGCUUUCGUUCGUUUUCAGUUUUCACUAUCCUUUUUUUUUCAUUUUUUAUUCUUUAUUUUACUAUUUAUAAUCGGUCCCACAAAAAGAAUAUUUCAUUUUUUACAAUUGUUCAAUGAUGCUUGGUCCACCCAUGCCCAGUUCGUCAAGCAGACAAGCACAAACGCGUGAAGCUUGCUAAAUUAUUUUCUUUUCACUUUUGUGGUGGGUUUUGUUUAAUGGUAAAUGGAUAAUGACUCCCAACAUUUUGAAUAAAGAUAUAAAACACUUUAAUGGUUCAAAAAAGAUACGUAAGAUAUAUUUUUAUUAGUAAAUUUUAUUGUUUUAAUAAUAAAUUUAUUUUUAAUUUAUAAUUAUUAUUACAUCACUUUAAUAAAUAAAUUAAUAUAUUUAGAUAGAAUAAGAUAAUCUACACCAUUCUUUUCUUAAUUCUAUUUUCUAAAAUGAAUUUCAUCAAAUAACAUCUAUUUUUUAUGCAUUAAAUAUCCAAUACAUUAUUUUUCAGCAGAAUCAACAUAUUAGUUCGUAACAGAAUUGCAACAUUCAAGAGUAUUUAGGUUUAUUUUUGUCGAUGCACAACACAAAUAAAUAAAUAAGUAUUUCAUUAUAUCCAAGAGACAUAUUUACUUAACUUAUGCGUAUCACUCAAUUAGAUGGGGCAAAUAACUUUUUUUAAAAAGUGAUAUUUAUAACGUUCCUUAAAGUAUAUAUUGAUUUUCUGUAAUUUACCUUUUUUUCAUUAUGUUAAAAUUCCACUAUUUUUAUUGCUGUUCUCUAUGUUUACCAUUCCGCAUAAAUAUAUAUCCCCAAUAUAUUAGUUAUAACUUUUUAGAAAUUUUUGUAAUUAAUAUGAAUAUUCAAUCAUUUAGAAAAACCUGAUUAUUAAUGAUUAGCUUAUCUCUCAAUUAAAGCUAGACACAUGUAAAUAUGUGAACUCGAAUUAAAUCUUGAUACUUGUAAUAUAUAUGAGUCAUAUCUAACAAAGCAAGUUCUAAUUUCUACUUCCAUCUUUUAAAUGACAGGUCGAUGUGCAUUAUCGAUGCAUGUACUGAAUAGGAAGUAACACAUAAAGAUGGAUUCUUUUUGCUGGACUCUGAUUUUUAUUUGUCAUUUUUUCCAAUUGUUCAAUGAUGCUUGGUCCACCCAUGUCCAAUUAGUCAAGCAGACAAGCACAAGCGCGCGAAGCUUGCUAAAUUAUUGAUGCAUAAAGUGGAAGCAAAAGCUAGAGGCAGCCCCCACCGCCACCGAUAAUUUUUUUUUCCUCACAUUAGAGUUAUUUCGUGUAUAUCGUUUAUAGCUUAUUAAUCGACUUGUUAUUUUAUUAAGUAUAUAUAUAUAUAUAUAUAUACAUUUAAUAAAUGAGUCGAAUUUAUGUUCAGCUAAAAUGUUAGUUAUAUUUGACACGACAGUAAUAUAGCAUGAUGGUAGAAUUUACCAUUGUGAUUAUAAAAAAUUAUGGUGUAUUUUUAAGUCUUUGUCUUAAUAUUGAAAUUAAUUCAAUAAAUGAAGUAAUUAUAUGGCAAAAGGAGAGAGACAGAGAGAAACGUUUUGAUUUAACUUGAUUCAUAAGUUUGAAGAUUUGUAAAGCCAAGGUUCGUAGUUGAUGCGUUCAAUUUUCUUCUGUAUUCAGCAUUUACCCGGACGCUGGAUUAAUGUUGUUGACCCUACUAAUAUCAAAGUCUGAUUAUUUAUUUAUUUAUUUUUUGAUAUACAAUUUUAUAUUUAUUGAUUCUAGUAACUAGUGGUGGUCAUUGGUGAUUGGUGACUUGCUAAAUUAUUAAUGGAUGGUGGGCUCUCCUUUUAUUUUCACUUUCCUGGAAUAAACAGCAAGUGGAAGACUUGUUAGAUGCACUUUGCUCGACUCUCCAUGCUCACUGUUCAAUUUUCUGAUUCUGCUUUCCAUAACCCAUAAUUCUGCUCCUUUCAUAAAUUUUCUGCUGUACGGCCAAGGCGGAUGUACGGUACAGCAGAACCCAGUAGCAGUCGUACAAGAACAAGUAAGCUUCGAGAGCUCAUUUCUACUUGUUGCACCACUUUUACUCCACAAUCGAUCCAGUUCGAUUAUGCCUUGAUGUCCAAAAUAGAAGAAAUCAACGGCAGAUUUCAAGAUAUUGUAACACAGAAAGACUCGCUGGGUUUGAACGUAAGUUCAGCUGGGCUUGGGAGGACCACAAAAAACACGCAAAGGCAAGAGACAACCUCUUUGGUGAAUGAAGCCGAAAUAUAUGGCAGAGAAACAGAAAAGAAGGAAAUUGCUGAAUUGUUGUUGAGGGAUGAUUUGAGAAAUGAUGGUAGGUUCUCUGUUAUACCUAUUGUAGGUUUGGGUGGGCUAGGCAAAACUACUCUUGCUCGGCUUGGCUAUAAUGAUGAUCGAGUGAAGAAUCAUUUUGGUCCCAAAGCAUGGAUUUGUGUCUCAGAUGAUUUUGAUGUUACCAAGCUAACAAAAACAAUCUUGACAUCCAUCGUUGCUCACCAGAACGUGGAUAAUCUCAACUUGAAUAAGCUUCAAGAGGAACUGAAGAAGCAACUACUUGGAAAGAAAUUUUUGCUUGUUUUAGAUGAUGUGUGGAAUUGGAAUUACAAUGAUUGGGUUGAGUUCAGCCUUCCAUUUGGAGCAAGUGCACGGGGAAGUAAAAUUAUUGUCACUACUCGCGAUGAAGAGGUUGCAAAAAUCAUGGGGACUCUUCCAGCUUAUGAAUUAAAAAAGCUGUCAGAUAAUGAUUGUCUAGCUGUACUCGCUCAACAUUCUUUGGGGACGCGAGAUUUCAGUUCACAUAUGUCAUUGGAGGAAAUCGGCAAGAAGAUAGUGACCAAAUGUGAUGGCUUGCCGUUGGCGGCACAAGCACUUGGAGGACUUUUACGUGGAGAACGUGACAGAGGUGAGUGGGAACGUGUGCUCAGUAGCAAGAUAUGGGAAUUACAAGAAGAGGGAUGCCGCAUUAUACCAGCCCUUGCGGUGAGCUAUUAUUAUCUUCGUCCAACUUUGAAACAAUGUUUUGCAUACUGCUCGUUGUUUCCGAAGGAUUAUGAAUUUGAAGAGGAGGAGAUAAUUUUAUUAUGGAGUGCUGUGGGUUUCUUGGAUCACGGAGAGAGCGGGAAUCCAAGUGAAGAUCUAGGUCGAAAGUUCUUUCAAGAGCUACGUGCAAGAUCUUUUUUCCAGCAAUCAAGCAACGGUAUAUCACGAUUUGUGAUGCACGACCUCGUCAAUGACCUUGCUCAAUGGGCUGCUGGGGAAAUGUACUUCAGAAUGGAGUAUAUCUCAGAGGUUAACAAGCAACAAAGUUUUUCCAGAAAUCUUCGUCAUCUGUCAUACAUUCCUGAAUAUUUUGAAGGCAGUAAAAGGUUUGAAGACUUGUACAAUAUCCAGCAUUUGCGAACUUUUCUACCAGUAAGGCGGUCAAAUAGUUUGCCAUCUGGAUACUUGGCUCGUAGCAUUCUUCCUAAGUUGUUCAAACUCCAACGCUUGAGGGUCUUCUCCUUGUUUGGAUACCGCAUCUAUGAGCUACCAAAUUCAGUAGGUGAUUUACAAUUUGCACAGUCUUAACCUAUCUGGAACUGAAAUUAGAACUCUGCCUGAAUCAGUGAACAAGCUUUACAAUUUGCACACACUUUUGUUGGAGGACUGUCGGGAACUAAAGAAGUUGUGUGCAGAAAUGGGAAACCUCAUCAAAUUGCAUCAUCUUAAAAAUUCAAAUACAGAUUCCUUGGAGGAAAUGCCACUAGGAAUUGGUAAUUUGACUUGUCUUCAAACGUUGUGUAAUUUUGUUGUGGCAAAAGACAGUGGUUCCGAGUUAAGAGAGCUGAAGUCGUU